GACGAACGCUGGCGGCGUGCCUAAUACAUGCAAGUUGAGCGAUGAAGAUUGGUGCUUGCACCAAUUUGAAGAGCAGCGAACGGGUGAGUAACGCGUGGGGAAUCUGCCUUUGAGCGGGGGACAACAUUUGGAAACGAAUGCUAAUACCGCAUAACAACUUUAAACAUAAGUUUUAAGUUUGAAAGAUGCAAUUGCAUCACUCAAAGAUGAUCCCGCGUUGUAUUAGCUAGUUGGUGAGGUAAAGGCUCACCAAGGCGAUGAUACAUAGCCGACCUGAGAGGGUGAUCGGCCACAUUGGGACUGAGACACGGCCCAAACUCCUACGGGAGGCAGCAGUAGGGAGUCUUCGGCAAUAGACGAAAGUCUGACCGAGCAACGCCGCGUGAGUGAAGAAGGUUUUCGGAUCGUAAAACUCUGUUGGUAGAGAAGAACGUUGGUGAGAGUGGAAAGCUCAUCAAGUGACGGUAACUACCCAGAAAGGGACGGCUAACUACGUG
rnacentral:rRNA from 1 species